rnacentral:misc_RNA from 1 species
GUUCAAUAUGCUUGGUAAGCUCCUGUAUUUCAUUUUGCUAAGCUAUGUAUUCUUUGUAUUUAUGCACUCAUUAAUUGUAUAAAAAAAAUUAUAAUCUGCCCAAAUUCCAUUGACCCCUGAUCUAUUUUAGAUUGAUCUUUCUUUCAACCUGAUUUGUCAAUCUAUGGUGAAUAAGAACAAUAGCCAAUUUGCAGCCUAACACACCAGAUCCAGCAUCAGCUCUCUUCUUCAGUAGAAUAGAAGAAAAAUUUCAGGAAUUGAACACACACACUCUGGCUUUGUUGUUAUGGAACUUUGAUAGAGCUCUUCAAUGAUUAAUUCAUAUGAAUUUCUUUUUGAUGACAGGAUACAGUAUUUGAUCCAGUUUCUCUCACAUGUGGCCAUAUAUUCUGCCAUAUGUGCGCUUGCUCCGCUGCUUCAGUGAGUAUUGUUGAUGGCCUAAAAUCUGCAGAGCCCAAAGAAAAAUGCCCUUUAUGCCGGCAGGCUGGAGUUUAUGAAGGUGCUGUGCACUUGGAAGAGCUUAAUAUUCUAUUAAGUCAAAGUUGCAGUAAGUAUUGGGAGGAGCGGAUGCAGUCAGAAAGGGUGGAGAGGGUUCGACAGGCAAAGCAGCAUUGGGAAUACCAGUGUCAGGCAUUCGUGGGUAUCUAGAAUAGAUACUUUGGUAUUGGUACUAGAGAUUUAGACUCGAUUACUGUCUUCAUAACUUCUCAUAAAAGGUCGAGCUUUAGUAUGUGUGUGUAGAUGUGCUCUUUGGUACAUUGCUUGAUUUAGACUAAAUUUUGUAUAUAGCUCUCUGUAUAAAUGUUGAUCUGGCUUGUAGAGAAAUGGAAAUGUGUUCUUCUGCUGUAAAUAACUAAAUGCUUUUGAUUGGGAGAAAGACUUGACAGUUCCCAGCACCAUUGUUCAAAAUGUCAUUAACAUCCCUAAUCUUAUUAAUUAGUUCAUUUAUCAAACUCAUAUAACUCACCUUUUGUAUAAGAAUUUCAAUUCCAAAGGUCAUGUUCUUAUUAAUAAAAAUUCUCCUUAGCCUUUUAUUUCAA